rnacentral:rRNA from 1 species
CACGAAGUUAGCCGGGGCUUAUUCUUGCGGUACCGUCAUUAUCUUCCCGCACAAAAGAGCUUUACAAACCCUAGGGCCUUCAUCACUCACGCGGCAUGGCUGGAUCAGGGUUUGCCCCCAUUGUCCAAUAUUCCCCACUGCUGCCUCCCGUAGGAGUUUGGGCCGUGUCUCAGUCCCAAUGUGGCUGAUCAUCCUCUCAGACCAGCUACUGAUCGUCGCCUUGGUAGGCCGUUACCCUACCAACUAGCUAAUCAGACGCGGGCCGAUCUUUCGGCGAUAAACUCUUUCCCCGUAAGGGCUUAUCCGGUAUUAGCUGAAGUUUCCCUCAGUUGUUCCGAACCAAAGGUACGUUCCCACGUGUUACUCACCCGUCUGCCACUGACACCGAAGUGCCCGUUCGACUUGCAUGUGUUGAGCCUGCCGCCAGCGUUCGCUCUCGAGCCAGGACUCAAACUC